rnacentral:rRNA from 1 species
GCUUGCUCUCGGGUGACGAGCGGCGGACGGGUGAGUAAUGUCUGGGAAACUGCCUGAUGGAGGGGGAUAACUACUGGAAACGGUAGCUAAUACCGCAUAANGUCGCAAGACCAAAGUGGGGGACCUUCGGGCCUCAUGCCAUCAGAUGUGCCCAGAUGGGAUUAGCUAGUAGGUGGGGUAACGGCUCACCUAGGCGACGAUCCCUAGCUGGUCUGAGAGGAUGACCAGCCACACUGGAACUGAGACACGGUCCAGACUCCUACGGGAGGCAGCAGUGGGGAAUAUUGCACAAUGGGCGCAAGCCUGAUGCAGCCAUGCCGCGUGUGUGAAGAAGGCCUUCGGGUUGUAAAGCACUUUCAGCGGGGAGGAAGGCGUUAAGGUUAAUAACCUNGUCGAUUGACGUUACCCGCAGAAGAAGCACCGGCUAACUCCGUGCCAGCAGCCGCGGUAAUACGGAGGGUGCAAGCGUUAAUCGGAAUUACUGGGCGUAAAGCGCACGCAGGCGGUCUGUCAAGUCGGAUGUGAAAUCCCCGGGCUCAACCUGGGAACUGCAUUCGAAACUGGCAGGCUAGAGUCUUGUAGAGGGGGGUAGAAUUCCAGGUGUAGCGGUGAAAUGCGUAGAGAUCUGGAGGAAUACCGGUGGCGAAGGCGGCCCCCUGGACAAAGACUGACGCUCAGGUGCGAAAGCGUGGGGAGCAAACAGGAUUAGAUACCCUGGUAGUCCACGCCGUAAACGAUGUCGAUUUGGAGGUUGUGCCCUUGAGGCGUGGCUUCCGGAGCUAACGCGUUAAAUCGACCGCCUGGGGAGUACGGCCGCAAGGUUAAAACUCAAAUGAAUUGACGGGGGCCCGCACAAGCGGUGGAGCAUGUGGUUUAAUUCGAUGCAACGCGAAGAACCUUACCUGGUCUUGACAUCCACAGAACUUUCCAGAGAUGGAUUGGUGCCUUCGGGAACUGUGAGACAGGUGCUGCAUGGCUGUCGUCAGCUCGUGUUGUGAAAUGUUGGGUUAAGUCCCGCAACGAGCGCAACCCUUAUCCUUUGUUGCCAGCGGUCCGGCCGGGAACUCAAAGGAGACUGCCAGUGAUAAACUGGAGGAAGGUGGGGAUGACGUCAAGUCAUCAUGGCCCUUACGACCAGGGCUACACACGUGCUACAAUGGCAUAUACAAAGAGAAGCGACCUCGCGAGAGCAAGCGGACCUCAUAAAGUAUGUCGUAGUCCGGAUUGGAGUCUGCAACUCGACUCCAUGAAGUCGGAAUCGCUAGUAAUCGUAGAUCAGAAUGCUACGGUGAAUACGUUCCCGGGCCUUGUACACACCGCCCGUCACACCAUGGGAGUGGGUUGCAAAAGAAGUAGGUAGCUAAC